UACGUAGGGGGCGAGCGUUGUCCGGAUUCAUUGGGCGUAAAGCGCUUUAAGGCGGUUCGCUAAGUCGCGUGUGAAACCUCCAGGCUCAACCUGGAGACGCCACGCGAUACUGGCGUGACUAGAGUUCGGUAGGGGAUCACGGAAUUCCUGGUGUAGCGGUGAAAUACGUAGAUAUCAGGAGGAACAUCGGUGGCGAAGGCGGCCAUCUGGCCCAACAUUGACGCUCAGACCCGAAAGCGUGGGGAUCAAACAGG
rnacentral:rRNA from 1 species